AGCGGUGAUGACAAGUUAAUGCCUGACAUCAAGGAGUGCAGUAUGUUCUAAUCUCAUCUUCCUUUAGAUUAAUCCCACAACAGUAUCAGCUUCAGUUGUCUUGCUGCAGCCAGUGAGGAUUUUCGACAGACUACUUAACAAUGGGAUGAAUUACGGUUUUAAUUUCGAUCAAUGGAGGCUGUCUAAAGUGUACAGUUUUAUGGUCUGUGAUCACUGUCAGUCAGACACUGGACGUAGGUACUGCUACCGGGUAGACUUACUUGGAAAAGUGGAGGCGCACGGAUCCUGGAAGUCCAAGCAAGCCUGGGAUAUCUGUUCACAGGAGGAGGGGGGAGGUCGAGAUGAUUAGAUUUCUCUGUCAUAACACUGGAUUCAAAUUGAAAGAGAUCUUUUUCUUUCCAUAUAUGUGUAUGCGCAUUUUGUCUUUGGUGAAUGCUUGCUACUGGAAGGGUGGUCAUUUAUUUACAGGGGCAGUUUAUUGCUUUUCUCAGUGAGUGUUGGUUCUCUCCUACAGAGGGAGGGAGGGUGACAGCAGUGGUGUAUUGGACUAUUGGACAGAGAGGGAAGAAAAGCGCGAAGGGGGACGUGUGUGUUUGAGAGAGAGAGAGAGAGAGAGAGAGAGAGAGAGAGAGAGAGAGAGAGAGAGAGAGAGAGAAAGUGUGUGGUGAGGGGGUUUACCGUUUUAACUUUUUUGCUGUUGGCCUCCCGGGCUCUGUGCCUCUGCAGCAGCUCUUUCACUGUGGUCUUCACUCGGACUCCCUGGUACACCCUCGGCUUAUCUGCAUAAAGACAACAGCAUGUCACUCAUGUUUACUAAACACCCUGCUCGCAGCGGACAAUAGCAGACACACUGCAGACGCGCCCCCCCCCCCCCAAACACACACACACUCACCCCCUCAAUACUUUUCCUUAAUACUUUCCCUCCAUAAGUAUAAACUUACAAUAAAUUGUCUUCCCUCAAAAUAAAAAUAUUUCAUACAAUUGUUUUUUUUUUCUCUCGAUAAGCUGUUAUCUCUCCAUAUAGUCCUUCACCAUAUACAUUAGUGAUUUAACAUUGUGGUGUAAAAUGAUAUAUAGCAUGUUGUAAUGAACAACAAUCUUAAGUGUGAACUAUGUGUAGCGCUUGAAUGUGUAAAGUUUUGUCUGCAUCUGCGGUGCGUAAAAGUGCAUUAUUAUGGCUCAGUGCUCGCUCUGGCUCUGGGGAUUUUCACCCAGUUGUCCCAACCCCGGAGCUCCCUCUGCCCCGGGUCAGGGCUCUCUCUUUACUGCACCACACGGCGGGGCAUUUCCUAUUACGCCGACAGCGAACUCUCUCUGUAGCCUGUGAGUGAUCCACCCCGCCCAGACCAGACACAAAGGAAAGCGGCACAAAAUGCGUUACCGAAAAAAAGUCUAUAAAAAAACAAUUUCCAGAUGAAAAUCCGAUGUUUAACUCACCAGACAUGACGACUGAGAUGAAAAAAAGGCUCCCUGGAGAAGACCUGUGGGACACAACGUCCUUUUCUGCCUCAGCAAAAUGGCCAAGAACGAAAUUUGUGCAAAAGUCUCCAAAAAUCUCAACACAAAUGUCUUACAGCAGAGUCAGAGCAUACAACAAUAUUGUAAUAUAGCUGGGGACAUAUUAGUUUGAGAUUUUCUCCCUCCAUGCCUACUAUUUAAAACCCCUAGAACUCAAUGAUUUGACAAUGAUUUGAUUGCGCGUUACUUUCAAUUUGAAUAUUCAGAGGCAACUGACUUGUAUCGAUUUUUCAAUAAAAAUCACUACACAUGGACAUUGUAUAAACUCCACUUUAAUGUAAUACAUAAGUAUUUUACACUUUGACCGAAAAGAAACCAUACUUUUAUUAAUUUUAUCCUCCUUUUGCAUUAUCAGAGCAUCACACCCCCUCAUUAAGCACUGCAGCACUGUGUGUCUCUUGUGCGCAACUUUAACACCGCAAUUCACUUCACACGUGCGAUCACAUGUUUGCUGCGGCCACACUGCAUGGAAACAAUACAUGCAAACAUAUAUUUAAGCUUUAUUUCACAGAAAAACACAUAAAUGUGGGAAAGAAGUGGGCGUGGCAAAGGGCAGUAGCCAUCUUUGGCAUCGCAGGCCUUGAGCUCCUGCAGCAAGUGCUCUGAGCGCACACACCUGCUGAAGGCUGCGGGUGAAGGACCCCGCACUUGUCUGCCUUUACUUUAUCUUUGACAAAAACCAUAUUAAUACUUAAAAAAUACUUUGUUCUAGGAAGAUGAAGAUUUUACCAGUGAAGAUCCACAAUUUGACAGUGUCUUCAAUUUCUUGAAUUUAGAAGCAAAUCACUUCCAUUUAAAUUACGCUCAGGUGAUUAACGCUAAAAGGCAUUUGUUUUCUAAACAUUUAUAGAAAGGUGAAGAACGUUGGCAGCUCGUUCUGUGCAGCACAUUCACACCAGCAUGUGGAAAACAGAUCCAAUAGAACCUUUAGCUUUUCAGAAUGCGAGCCGCGCAGGAUAAGUGACCACAUUGUGAGAAAUACUGCAUUUUCACCAUCUCCAGAUCCAGAGCAAUCUGGUCUCUCAAACUGGUCCAAUGGAAGUUAUUAUUACUGUUAUUGACCAUACAGUUACAGUAAUAACAAUGAUAACGACAACAUUAAAAGUUAGGAGCAUCCCCAUUCUAUUAAGAAAAUAUAUUGUAUUAAUCUAAUCACAUGUUUGUGCUUCAUAUUUGCCCUUUUAAAAAGCCGUCUGUGGUGAUCUCAGGCACUUGUCAUGAAGCUCCCUCUUCCCUGCCUUACACACGUUAAGAUGUCUUCAUCCCUGUCCUCUGCUCUUCUUGUACUUUCAUGGAUUUUCUCCCUCUUGUUGCAGCGCAGCGGCUCCUCUUCUCCUGUUGCAACAGUGGAGUCGGAGCGCCACCUAGCGGCCAGAAACCGGAACGUCUUCUCAGCGGUUCUCCCUUCACCUCUUUGUGAUAUGGACAAUAUUUUUUGAAACAUCUGGCAGGGCCAAACUGAACCCCAUGACGAGCCAACUUUGGGUGUCAUAUAUGUUGAACAUAUCGGUGAAAGUGUUUAGACAGUAGAUGUGAACCAAUCUGUUUUUGGUCUGACAUUUUGGGGAAUGUUGGGCUCUCUCUAUUUACAAUUUAAUUAAAGAGUUUGGUCUAGACCUGCUCAAAUUGGAAAGUGUCAUGAGAUAACUUUUGUUGUGAAUUGGCGCUAUAUAAAUAAACUGAAUUGAAUUGACUGUAAGAGGUGAUGAGGGAAAAGCAUUUUGUCUAACCCCCUUUUGUGCAACACUUUAUUUUAACUCCAUAUUUAUCAUUUAUAAACAGCCUAUACAGUACAAUACACACUAUAGUGUAGUUCCAGGCACAUGUAAGGAUAUGGGUAUUCAUUGACAUCUUUGUUAACAACUAUAACUCCUUCCAUGAAUGAUUUGUAUGAACAGUUUAAUAAGAGUUUGAUAACAUGCUAUAGCAUUUGCUGUAAGACACUGUUAAAUCAUUAGCAGCCAGUGUUUGAAGAUUAAAUUUGCCAUUGCCCAAACUUUUAAACAUAUCACAACAUUAUAAAGCAUUUUUAAUUUCACCUGAUGCUAAACAUGCAUUUCUUUAGAUAUUAACAUGUAUUAACCUGUGAUAACACAUGCAGAAAUGAAGCGCUGACAUUUUUAUGAUAUCCAACACUGUGAACACAAAUACGGAGCUCAUAUUAAAUGUCUGCACUGAACAGUGCUGACUCAUCAUCAGUCAUCACUCUGAGAGUUUUAAAGGAGCCUCUCUGUCUUACUGUUUGUUCUGUGUCUCCACAUUACAGCUGAGUCAUAAAAUGUCCUUGUAUCUGUUUAUAAUAACAAUAUAGCAUUUGUGUAAUAAACCCCUUAUUAAUUCUUU